rnacentral:rRNA from 1 species
CUGGCGGCGUGCUUAACACAUGCAAGUCGAACGGAGUACUCUCCCGAGACUGAGGAAGCUUGCUUCCAAAGAAUCAUUUGAAGUACUUAGUGGCGGACGGGUGAGUAACGCGUGGGUAACCUGCCUCACACUGGGGGAUAGCAGUUGGAAACGACUGAUAAUACCGCAUAAGCGCACAGUAUCGCAUGAUACAGUGUGAAAAACUCCGGUGGUGUGAGAUGGACCCGCGUCUGAUUAGCCAGUUGGCGGGGUAACGGCCCACCAAAGCUACGAUCAGUAGCCGGCCUGAGAGGGUGUACGGCCACAUUGGGACUGAGACACGGCCCAAACUCCUACGGGAGGCAGCAGUGGGGAAUAUUGCACAAUGGGGGAAACCCUGAUGCAGCCGACGCCGCGUGAGUGAUGAAGUAUUUCGGUAUGUAAAACUCUAUCAGCAGGGAAGAUAAUGACGGUACCUGACUAAGAAGCACCGGCUAAAUACGUGCCAGCCGCGGC